rnacentral:rRNA from 1 species
UGGGGAAUUUUGGACAAUGGGCGAAAGCCUGAUCCAGCAAUGCCGCGUGAGUGAAGAAGGCCUUCGGGUUGUAAAGCCCUUUAGGUUGGGAAGAAGUGUGUAGGCUGAAUAAUCCUACAUAUUGACGGUACCGACAGAAUAAGCACCGGCAAACUCUGUGCCAGCAGCCGCGGUAAUACAGAGGGUGCGAGCGUUAAUCGGAGUUACUGGGCGUAAAGGGUGCGUAGGCGGUUGUGUGAGUGUGAUGUGAAAGCCCUGGGCUUAACCUAGGAAGUGCAUCGCAAACGACAUAACUGGAGUAUAAGAGAGGGUGGCGGAAUUUCCGGUGUAGCGGUGAAAUGCGUAGAGAUCGGAAGGAACGUCAAUGGCGAAGGCAGCCACCUGGCUUAAUACUGACGCUGAGGCACGAAAGCGUGGGGAUCAAACAGG